rnacentral:lncRNA from 1 species
CCAGAAGUGAGGCGCCCAGAGAAGUGUUCACUUGUGGCUCGAAGUCCAGGUGUGAUACUGCAUGAAAACCCCCCGAUUUGGCCAUCCAGAGCAUGGUAAUCAAGAAACGCCUAGAUGUUUCCAAAAAUGGAUUGGGUGUCCCUCCAAGUGUUCAUGAAAAGGUUGAAUUUCCUCUUGGUGGGGAGUUACAGAGGAGAUUAGCAGAUCAGGCUGAAUUAGGGCCUCACUGUGUUACCCAGGCUGGAGUGCAGUGGUGCAAUCACAGCUCACUGCAGCCUCGACUUCGCAGGCUUAAGCACAUCUCCCACCUCAGUUUCCCAAGUAUCUGGGACCACAGGGACAUGGAUGAAGCUGGAAACCAUCAUCCUCAGCAAACUAACACAGGAACAGAAAACCAAACACCGCAUGUUCUCACUCGUAAGUGGGAGUUGAACAAUGAGAACACAUGGACACAGGGAGGGGAACAUCACACACCGGGGCCUGUCAGGGAGUGGGGGGCUAGGGGAGGGA